UAUAAGUACAAGCCAUAUUUGAAUACAACAUAGAGAAUAGUCUAAUCCAUAAGAGGGAGAGUACUAAUACUCCGAACACCAGAAGCUCACGCUAAAACUCCAAUGCAUAGUUGCUUAGCAUGUUCCAAAGAAUAAUAAUGAGAACUCAUACAAUGAUCUGAAAAUUGUAGAAGUGUAGUAUGAGUAUCAAAUAUGUGGUACUCAAUGGGUAUUAGUCGACUACGCUCCAAUGAUAAUGAUAUCAUAAAUAACAUGUAAAUCAAGAAUAUAAAGUAUAGGUAGCCAUCCAUGAAAAUUAAACAUAAAUAAUCUAGUAAAGUAAAAAGGAUAAACUAUCCUAUCAUCAUAGUAAUCA
rnacentral:lncRNA from 1 species